AAUAUUGGACAAUGGGGGCAACACUGAUCCAGCCAUGCCGCGUGUGUGAAGAAGGUCUUCGGAUUGUAAAGCACUUUAAGAUGGGAGGAAGGGCUUUAGGUUAAUACCAUGUAGUUUUGACGUUAUCAACAGAAUAAGCACCGGCUAACACUGUGCCGGCAGCCGCGGUAAUACAGAGGGUGCAAGCGUUAAUCGGAAUGAUGGGGCGUAAAGCACGCGUAGUUGGUUCAGUAAGAUGGUUGUGAAAUCCCCGGGCUUAACCUGGGAACUGCUUUCAUAACUGCUGAGCUAGAGUACGGUAGAGGGUAGUGGAAUUUCCUGUGUAGCGGGGAAAUGCGUAGAUAUAGGAAGGAACACCAGUGGCGAAGGCGACUACCUGGACUGAUACUGACACUGAGGUGCGAAAGCGUGGGGAGCAAAC
rnacentral:rRNA from 1 species